UACGGAGGAUUCGAGCGUUAUCCGGAUUUAUUGGGUUUAAAGGGUGCGCAGGCGGGAAAUUAAGUCGGCGGUGAAAUUUUGCGGCUCAACCGUAAAAGUGCCUUCGAUACUGGUUUUCUUGAGUGUAGCUGAAGUAGGCGGAAUUUGUGGUGUAGCGGUGAAAUGCUUAGAUAUCACGAGGAACUCCGAUUGCGCAGGCAGCUUACUAAACCACUACUGACGCUCAUGCACGAAGGCGUGGGGAUCAAACAGGAUUAGAUACCCUGGUAGUCCCU
rnacentral:rRNA from 1 species